rnacentral:rRNA from 1 species
CCUACGGGCGGCAGCAGUAGGGAAUUUUCCACAAUGGGCGAAAGCCUGAUGGAGCAACGCCGCGUGGGUGAAGAAGGUCUUCGGAUCGUAAAACCCUGUUGUUAGAGACGAAAGUGCGUGAGAGUAACUGUUCACGUUUCGACGGUAUCUAACCAGCAAGCCACGGCUAACUACGUGCCAGCCGCCGCGGUAAUACGUAGGUGGCAAGCGUUAUCCGGAUUUAUUGGGCGGAAAGGGAACGCAGGCGGUCUUUUAAGUCGGAUGUGAAAGCCUUCGGCUUAACCGGAGUAGUGCAUUGGAAACUGGGAGACUUGAGUGCAGAAGAGGAGAGUGGAACUCCAUGUGUAGCGGUGAAAGGCGUAGAUAUAUGGAAGAACACCAGUGGCGAAAGCGGCUCUCUGGUCUGUAACUGACGCUGAGGUUCGAAAGCGUGGGUAGCAAACAGGAUUAGAUACCCUAGUAGUC